UACGAAGGGUGCAAGCGUUACUCGGAAUUACUGGGCGUAAAGCGUGCGUAGGUGGUUCGUUAAGUCUGAUGUGAAAGCCCUGGGCUCAACCUGGGAAUGGCAUUGGAUACUGGCGACCUAGAGUGCGGUAGAGGGGUGUGGAAUUCCCGGUGUAGCAGUGAAAUGCGUAGAUAUCGGGAGGAACAUCUGUGGCGAAGGCGGCCCCCUGGUUGGAUACUGACGCUGAUACGCGAAAGCGUGGGGAGCAAACAGG
rnacentral:rRNA from 1 species